AUUACUUUGGCAGAUUAAUGUAUUAAAUUUAGAAUUUAAAAAUGAAUAUAGUUCAAGUAAUA
rnacentral:tRNA from 1 species